GCAUCAUCAGUACCAGCAAGGACACACAUACAGCCACAAAGCAAGACCUAGGAGAAAUAUUUGGUGCUCUACUCUCCUAGGGAACUGGAAGGAACCUGCUCUCUCCUGGGUAUACUUUUCUAAUUUUAGAGUGCUAAAGAAGCUCUUCUCACAGGGACCCGAGUGAAUCCUUUCUCCUUGGAACAAAGGACAAGAAAAAAAGAAAGGACUUUACCGCAGAAAUGCCACAUUUUGUUGGAACUCAGAGUUAUGAGUGGCCCUCGCCAUACCUACACUUUCUGACUGAGCUCCUCUCUACCCUGAAUACAAGAGACCCUAAUAGGCAGGAAUAUCAUCACCCCUCUUCAGCCUGAAGAUGUUACAGAAGAUGGAUAUUUGUCCGUUUACAACCCUUAAGAUUAAGGGUUCCCCUGUAAAAGGGAGGGGGAAAAUAUGUCAGAGAUGUUUGAACCAGAGCAACUUCGUCCUGAAUAGUGGCUCGGUAAAGUGAGGCUGACACCUAUGGACUGCAUUCCCAGGAGGUUAGGCAUUCUUAGUUACGGGAUGAAAUAGGAGUUUGGCACAAGAUGGGUCAUAAAGACCUUGCUGAUAAAAGGAUGUGGUACAGAAGCUGGCCAAAACUCACCAAAAUCAAGAUGUGAUGAAAGUGACUUCUGGUAGUCCUCACUCCUCAUUACACUAAUUAUAAUGCAUUAGCAUGCUAAAAGACACGUUCACCAGCACCAUUAUGGUUUACAAAUGCCAUGGCAAUAUCAGCAAGUUACCCUAUAUGGUCUUAAAAGGGGAGGAACCCUCAGUUCUGGGAAUUGCCCACCACUUUCCCAGGAAACUCAUGAAUAAUCCACCCUUUAUUUAGCAAAUAAUCAAGAAAUAACUAUAAGUAUAAUCAGUUGAGCAGCCCAUGCCACUGCUCUGCCUGUGGAAUAGCCACUCUUUUAUUCCUUUACUUUUUUAAUAAACUUGUUUUCACUUUAC
rnacentral:lncRNA from 10 species